rnacentral:rRNA from 1 species
CCAACGUAGAUCGAUAGGUGACAUGCGCCUAUCUAUACAGCGGGAGCGAAGAGUACCUUACGUUUCCUCGGCGGGUCCGCCCGCCGAUUGGACAAUUUAAACCAUUUGCAGUUGCAAUCAGCGUCUGAAAAAACUUAAUAGUUACAACUUUCAACAACGGAUCUCUUGGUUCUGGCAUCGAUGAAGAACGCAGCGAAAUGCGAUAAGUAGUGUGAAUUGCAGAAUUCAGUGAAUCAUCGAAUCUUUGAACGCACAUUGCGCCCCUUGGUAUUCCAUGGGGCAUGCCUGUUCGAGCGUCAUUUGUACCUUCAAGCUCUGCUUGGUGUUGGGUGUUUGUCUCGCCUCUGCGUGUAGACUCGCCUCAAAACAAUUGGCAGCCGGCGUAUUGAUUUCGGAGCGCAGUACAUCUCGCGCUUUGCACUCAUAACGACGACGUCCAAAAGUACAUUUUUACACUCUUGACCUCGGAUCAGGUAGGGAUACCCGCUGAACUUAAG